ACUCCUACGGGAGGCAGCAGUGGGGAAUAUUGGACAAUGGGCGAAAGCCUGAUCCAGCCAUGCCGCGUGUGUGAAGAAGGCCUUUUGGUUGUAAAGCACUUUAAGCGAGGAGGAGGCUACUUGGAUUAAUACUCUAGGAUAGUGGACGUUACUCGCAGAAUAAGCACCGGCUAACUCUGUGCCAGCAGCCGCGGUAAUACAGAGGGUGCGAGCGUUAAUCGGAUUUACUGGGCGUAAAGCGUGCGUAGGCGGCUUUUAAGUCGGAUGUGAAAUCCCUGAGCUUAACUUAGGAAUUGCAUUCGAUACUGGGAAGCUAGAGUAUGGGAGAGGAUGGUAGAAUUCCAGGUGUAGCGGUGAAAUGCGUAGAGAUCUGGAGGAAUACCGAUGGCGAAGGCAGCCAUCUGGCCUAAUACUGACGCUGAGGUACGAAAGCAUGGGGAGCAAACAGGAUUAGAUACCCUGGUAGCUA
rnacentral:rRNA from 1 species